rnacentral:rRNA from 1 species
CCACGCCGUAAACGAUGAGUGUUAGGUGCCUGGCAAAGCUGGGUGCCGCAGCUAACGCAUUAAACACUCCGCCUGGGGAGUACGCACGCAAGUGUGAAACUCAAAGGAAUUGACGGGGACCCGCACAAGCAGCGGAGCAUGUGGUUUAAUUCGAUGCAACGCGAAAAACCUUACCAGGGCUUGACAUAUCACGGAAAGAACUAGAGAUAGAACCCCUCUUCGGAGCCGUGAUACAGGUGGUGCAUGGUUGU